UCAGACUUGAAGUUUUUGCCCAACUUUCCCCCACCCCCACCUCCUGACCCACCCCUAAUCUGCUCCUAUUCCCCUUUCUCUGGCCACCGGAUUUCCAGUUCUUCCAGCGCACUACUUCAGCCCCGAGAGAGCAUCUGUAAACUCAACUCCAGAACAACUGGCUUCAUGUUUCUCUGAGGCUGAUGGUUAACUUCCAUGCUGCGAAAGACUAUGUAGAGAAGCCCAUGUGACGAGGAGCUGAGGGAAGCCUCCAGCUAACAGCUCAGGAGAAACUGAGGACUCAGUCCCACGACCGUAAGGAACGGAACUCUUCCUACAACCACAGGCCUGAACUUGAAAGAAGCGUCCCCAGGAUAUACACAUCCUACUUGGGAGACAGCUGCUUACUUUUAAUUGAAUAAGAACAAAUGGCUGAUCAAAACAACAAUGAGAUACUACUACAUGCCCAUUAGAAUGCUAAAAUCUGAAACAAAGACAACAGGAAAUGCUGGUGAAAGAUGCAGAGCAAAGGAACUCUCAUUUAUUGCUGAUGAGAAUGCAAAAUGCGUGUUUGAAAUGGAACAAUGUAUUGACUUCAGAAGAAAACAUGCUGGACAGAACUGAAAUGCUCACACUCAUGCUCUGGGCUAUGACUCUCCAUGAAGUUUGUUUCUAGAGAAGAUUUCAGUGCUGCAUUUCCUGGGAAGCCAUCACUUGCUGAACUUGUUCAUUUUGAUGUAAAGACCAUAAUACCCAGCCUAUAAAAAUGUAUAACAUAGCUUAUCUUAAAAAAAAAUGA